ACUGUCCACGGAUCUUGGACACGUGCUCGGAGAUGCAGGAGUGGAUGUCACAGUUCUUCCUGUAGACGUCGGCCAGCAGCUCACCAAAGUAACGCGUGUCCAGCUUCGUCGGCUGGGGCGCCUCCCUCAGGUUUCACUGACGGCAGAGAAACACAGUGGAAACAUUUGGUCUGAUGUCAGACAAAACGUCUUAAAUAUCCAAAGCUGUGGCUGAGCAGAGCAGUCAAACCAGAUUCCACAGGAGCCCGGGGGAAGAUCAGGAGCCAGAACUUCCCACAAGAAAAGUUAUUGCCAUUGGAGGGCCACCAAGACCCACAUGGAGCCCUGAAGCAUUUCAAUAUCAUGUUCAGUUUCAGCACUUGGCUCGGGGCUCUUGGUGGGACUGGACGACUGGCUGAACACUGAUGAAGACUUCCCGCUGAUGCUCUGAAAUAACAGACGAAGGUGGCAGAGAAAAAGAAGAAGAAAAGGUCAGAUUUUUAAACAGAAAAUAAUGAA